CCUGGACCACCCGCUCCUGGGGCUUGACCCCAGAAUCCCAGCCUUCCCCGGCCGCCCACACAGGCCUCCCAGCAUCCUCACCCAGCCCCCUUGCUCACUCCUGCAGCUGACAAGCCGGAGGUGACCUCAGAGCAACUGAAGGUGUUGCAUGAAGCCAUUGAGUGCAAGGGCCUGGAUAAGUCGGAAAUCAUCUACGCUGAUGUGAAAAAGGAUCAGUGUGGGCCGCUGGAGAAGCAGCACGA